CCCACGAACCUAUACGCGAACCGAUCCGUAUCGUUCGGUCGGAUCUCGGAACACGAGGUUGAUCAAACAGUACGAUUAUUCGAAUAUUCUAUCGUAUACACAUACAUAGUUCGUCUACAUUAUACGAGAACGCAUAGUGGUUUAAACGAGUACACCGGGCGAAACACAGCGUUCUGGAAAUAUUUUUCACAAGAUUUACAAAAUUAAAAAAUCGCAAACGACCUUUCGAGUACUACACUCCGAUAAUAUUUUUAAUGAAUCAUUUUGUAUUCCGA